GCGUUCGUGGUGUAACGGUAGCACACUCGGCUCGUAUUCGAGAGGUCCAGUUUCGAGUUCCGGAGAGUGCA
rnacentral:tRNA from 1 species